CCUACGGGCGACAGCAGUGAGGAAUAUUGGUCAAUGGCCGGGAGGCUGAACCAGCCAAGUCGCGUGAGGGAAGACGGCCCUACGGGUUGUAAACCUCUUUUGUCAGGGAGCAAGGUGCAGGUCGGGACCUGCUGUGAGAGUACCUGAAGAAAAAGCAUCGGCUAACUCCGUGCCAGCAGCCGCGGUAAUACGGAGGAUGCGAGCGUUAUCCGGAUUUAUUGGGUUUAAAGGGUGCGCAGGCGGAGGCACAAGUCAGCGGUAAAAUCGCGGGGCUCAACCCCGCUCCGCCGUUGAAACUGUGUGCCUUGAGUGCGCGAAGGGUAGGCGGAAUGCGGGGUGUAGCGGUGAAAUGCAGAGAUAUCACGCAGAACUCCGAUCGCGAAGGCAGCCUACCGGCGCGCAACUGACGCUCAUGCACGAAAGCGUGGGUAUCGAACAGGAUUAGAUACCCGGGUAGUC
rnacentral:rRNA from 1 species